CCGGCGACGACAACGGAGCGUGAGACAUUGGCGCCGGUCUGGUCGGUGUAGAGGGAGACAGUGCGCCACCACUCGGCGACGGAGGGGGAAGGGGCGGCGGUGGUGGAGAUGGAGAGGAGGAAGUCCUUGAUGAGGAGCUUCUGGGGGAGGGACCAACGGCCGUACCAGAUGAGGUAGAUGUUGAUGGGGUGGGAGGAGAGGACGGGGCCCAUGUGGUAGCGGAGGUGGACUAGAUCUGAGGAGCCUUCGAACUUCUUGGAGGAGGAGAGGCUGCGUGGGGGGAGCUUGGGGUUGAAGAGGGUGUUGAGGGUCUGAACGGAAGAU
rnacentral:lncRNA from 1 species